GAUCCUGGCUCAGGACGAACGCUGGCGGCGUGCCUAACACAUGCAAGUCGAACGGGGCUUAGGGAGCUUGCUCCCAAAAGCCUAGUGGCGGACGGGUGAGUAACGCGUGAGCAACCUGCCUCUCAGAGGGGAAUAACGUUUGGAAACGAACGCUAAUACCGCAUAACAUUGUUUUGUCGCAUGGCAGAGCAAUCAAAGGAGCAAUCCGCUGAGAGAUGGGCUCGCGUCCGAUUAG
rnacentral:rRNA from 1 species